rnacentral:rRNA from 1 species
GAUGAACGCUGGCGGCGUGCUUAACACAUGCAAGUCGAACGGAAAGGCCCAAGCUUGCUUGGGUACUCGAGUGGCGAACGGGUGAGUAACACGUGGGUGAACUGCCCUGCACUUCGGGAUAAGCCUGGGAAACUGGGUCUAAUACCGGACAGGACGAUGGCUUGGAUGCCAUUGUGGAAAGUUUUUCCGGUGUGGGAUGAGGACGCGGCCUAUCAGCUUGUUGGUGGGGUAUUGGACUACCAAGGCGUCGACGGGUAGCCGGCCUGAGAGGGUGUACGGCCGCAUUGGGCCUGAGAGACGGGCCAGAGUCCGGCGGGAGGCAGCAGUGGGGGAUGUUGCCCAAUGGGCGCGAGACUGAUGCAGCGACGCCGCGUGGGGGAUAACGGCCUUCGGGGUGUAAACUCCUCUCGCUAGGGACGGGGCGUUUUUGUGACGGUACCUGGAGAAGAAGCACCGGCUAACUACGUG